GAUGAACGCUGGCGGCGUGCCUAAUACAUGCAAGUCGAGCGAACAGACGAGGAGCUUGCUGCUCUGACGUUAGCGGCGGACGGGUGAGUAACACGUGGAUAACCUACCUAUAAGACUGGGAUAACUUCGGGAAACCGGAGCUAAUACCGGAUAAUAUUUUGAACCGCAUGGUUCAAUAGUGAAAGACGGUCUUGCUGUCACUUAUAGAUGGAUCCGCGCUGCAUUAGCUAGUUGGUAAGGUAACGGCUUACCAAGGCAACGAUGCAUAGCCGACCUGAGAGGGUGAUCGGCCACACUGGAACUGAGACACGGUCCAGACUCCUACGGGAGGCAGCAGUAGGGAAUCUUCCGCAAUGGGCGAAAGCCUGACGGAGCAACGCCGCGUGAGUGAUGAAGGUCUUCGGAUCGUAAAACUCUGUUAUUAGGGAAGAACAUAUGUGUAAGUAACUGUGCACAUCUUGACGGUACCUAAUCAGAAAGCCACGGCUAACUACGUG
rnacentral:rRNA from 1 species